AUUGAACGCUGGCGGCAUGCUUUACACAUGCAAGUCGAACGGUAACAGGCCUUCGGGUGCUGACGAGUGGCGAACGGGUGAGUAAUGCAUCGGAACGUGCCCAAUCGUGGGGGAUAACGUAGCGAAAGUUACGCUAAUACCGCAUAAGCCCUGAGGGGGAAAGCAGGGGAUCGCAAGACCUUGCGCGAAUGGAGCGGCCGAUGUCAGAUUAGCUAGUUGGUGGGGUAAAGGCCUACCAAGGCGACGAUCUGUAGCGGGUCUGAGAGGAUGAUCCGCCACACUGGGACUGAGACACGGCCCAGACUCCUACGGGAGGCAGCAGUGGGGAAUUUUUGGACAAUGGGCGGCAAGACCUGAUCCAGCCAUGCCGCGUGCGGGACGAAGGCCUCGG
rnacentral:rRNA from 1 species